UCAAUUCCUCCCUCCCUACCUACCAAUCUACCAUCACCGUUCUCUUCUUAACUUUGCCUGAUGCAUGCAAUUCAUGGAUAGUAAAUGAAGAGUUAAAGUUCUACAGUCCAGUUCAAGGUCAUUUGUUUAGCCAAAUCUUGAACAAUAAAAAAUUAAUGCAUACAAAAAAAUGCAAAAAAAAAUAAAAAUUAAAACUCUCGGCACAACCCCUUUCAUCUUCUUUUAUAAGAUCAAGAGAGAAAUAAGACAACAACAAAAAAAAAUGAAGAAUCAAAGAAGAAAUGAGCAUUGUUGACGGCCGUGGAUGACGUGGACCGCCGGUGAGGAGAGGAUGAAGAACCACUCUGUGUCACUGUGUCGGUGACCUCCUCGUCGACGUCGUCACAGGCGGAGACAGAGAAGAAGAUGGAGUUCAGUUCCCAAAAGGUGAGGUCUUGAUACACUUCCUCGAAAGAUCCACUCUUGUGCGUCAGAACCCCGUUGUCCCGGAGAACGGAAGCGUCGUCGCGUCCUCCAAUGAUGUCUCCACCUAUAGAACAUCGCUUUUGUGGGCUUUCUGGUAACUAAUGCAGUUCUCCGACAGGUCGUCGAGUCAGAGAAGAAGUCGUCGUCCUUGUCAUCGGAGAAGAAGCCUCCGUCGUUGCGUUAGAGAAGAAGUUUUCGUCUGGGGUUUCAACCCUAGCUAGUAAGGUUGGGGAAGGGGCAAUGGUGGUGGAGAACAUGGGGGACGACGAAGGUGUGGAGGCCAUGGAGUAGAUCUGAAAAAAAAAUAAAAAAUUCAGCUUACAUAUGUAUAAUACCUGUAUUGUUAUUUCCUUUUUUUUUUUAAUUAAUAGCAGGUUUUGUUACAAAUAAAGCCAAAUGGUCCACUAGUGGACCUUUAAAAAGGUCUUCACCUUAGUCUGACCCCACUCGUCAUCUAUGAUACAGGAUAAAAAAAAAAAGGCUAUGGUGAAGGAUUCUGAAACUGGACCACUAGUGGGGAACAAAAAAAUCACCUGUAAUAACAUGUUUUAAAGAUAUCAAAGCACCGGGAGAUUUUAUCCAUUGGUGUCAAUUAGGUGGUCUUCAAUUGCAGCUUUGUAAUGCAAUGGUAUUCUCUAGUCCAAUUAUUAUUUUUGUUUCUAUAUUUCUUAUUUAUCCAUUGGGUCAUGAUUGAUUCUUUAUAUUUC